rnacentral:piRNA from 1 species
UGCAACGGCACAUGUGGCUUCCCACA